rnacentral:rRNA from 1 species
AUACGGAGGGUCCAAGCGUUAUCCGGAUUCAUGGGGUUUAAAGGGUCCGCAGGCGGGAAAAUAAGUCAGUGGUGAAAGCCUACAGCUCAACUGUAGAACUGCCAUUGAAACUGUUUUUCUUGAGUAUAGAUGAAGUGGGCGGAAUAUAUCAUGUAGCGGUGAAAUGCAUAGAUAUGAUAUAGAACACCGAUUGCGAAGGCAGCUCACUAAACUAUUACUGACGCUCAGGGACGAAAGCGUGGGGAGCGAACAGGAUUAGAUACCCCGGUAGUCC